rnacentral:rRNA from 1 species
AACGAACGCUGGCGGCAUGCCUAACACAUGCAAGUCGAACGAGACCUUCGGGUCUAGUGGCGCACGGGUGCGUCACGCGUGGGAACCUGCCCUUAUGUUCGGAAUAACUCUCCGAAAGGGGUGCUAAUACCGGAUAAUGUCUUCGGCCCAAAGAUUUAUCGCCUUUGGAUGGGCCCGCGUUGGAUUAGCUAGUUGGUAGGGUAAAAGCCUACCAAGGCGACGGUCCAUAGCUGGUCUGAGAGGAUGAUCAGCCACACUGGGACUGAGACACGGCCGAGACUCCUACGGGAGGGAGCAGUGGGGAAUAUUGGACAAUGGGCGAAAGCCUGAUCCAGCAAUGCCGCGUGAGUGAUGAAGGCCUUAGGGUUGUAAAGCUCUUUUACCCGGGAUGAUAAUGACAGUACCGGGAGAAUAAGCUCCGGCUAACUCCGUG